rnacentral:rRNA from 1 species
UUCCGGUUGAUCCUGCCGGACCUGACUGCUAUCGGAUUGAUACUAAGCCAUGCGAGUCAUUGUAGCAAUACAAGGCAGACGGCUCAGUAACGCGUAGUCAACCUACCCUAUGGACGGGAAUAAUCUCGGGAAACUGAGAAUAAUGCCCGAUAGAACAUUAUGCCUGGAAUGGUUUAUGUUCCAAAUGAUUUAUCGCCGUAGGAUGGGACUGCGGCCUAUCAGUUUGUUGGUGAGGUAAUGGCCCACCAAGACUAUUACAGGUACGGGCUCUGAGAGGAGUAGCCCGGAGAUGGGUACUGAGACACGGACCCAGGCCCUAUGGGGCGCAGCAGGCGAGAAAACUUUGCAAUGUGCGAAAGCACGACAAGGUUAAUCCGAGUGAUUCGUGCUAAACGAAUCUUUUGUUAGUCCUAGAAACACUAACGAAUAAGGGGUGGGCAAGUUCUGGUGUCAGCCGCCGCGGUAAAACCAGCACCUCAAGUGGUCAGGAUGAUUAUUGGGCCUAAAGCAUCCGUAGCCGGCUCUGUAAGUUUUCGGUUAAAUCUGUACGCUCAACGUACAGGCUGCCGGGAAUACUGCAGAGCUAGGGAGUGGGAGAGGUAGACGGUACUCGGUAGGAAGGGGUAAAAUCCUUUGAUCUAUUGAUGACCACCUGUGGCGAAGGCGGUCUACCAGAACACGUCCGACGGUGAGGGAUGAAAGCUGGGGGAGCAAACCGGAUUAGAUACCCGGGUAGUCCCAGCUGUAAACUAUGCAAACUCAGUGAUGCAUUGGCUUGUGGCCAAUGCAGUGCUGCAGGGAAGCCGUUAAGUUUGCCGCCUGGGGAAGUACGUACGCAAGUAUGAAACUUAAAGGAAUUGGC